UGGGGAAUUUUGGACAAUGGGGGCAACCCUGAUCCAGCAAUGCCGCGUGUGUGAAGAAGGCCUUCGGGUUGUAAAGCACUUUUGUCCGGAAAGAAAACGUCGUGGUUAAUACCCGUGGCGGCUGACGGUACCGGAAGAAUAAGCACCGGCUAACUACGUGCCAGCAGCCGCGGUAAUACGUAGGGUGCAAGCGUUAAUCGGAAUUACUGGGCGUAAAGCGUGCGCAGGCGGUCCGCUAAGACAGAUGUGAAAUCCCCGGGCUUAACCUGGGAACUGCAUUUGUGACUGGCGGGCUAGAGUAUGGCAGAGGGGGGUAGAAUUCCACGUGUAGCAGUGAAAUGCGUAGAGAUGUGGAGGAAUACCGAUGGCGAAGGCAGCCCCCUGGGCCAAUACUGACGCUCAUGCACGAAAGCGUGGGGAGCAAACAGGAUUAGAUACCCUGGUAGUCCACGCCCUAAACGAUGUCAACUAGUUGUUGGGGAUUCAUUUCCUUAGUAACGUAGCUAACGCGUGAAGUUGACCGCCUGGGGAUACGGUCGCAAGAUUAAAACUUAAAUGAAUUGACGGGGUCAUAGCUGUUUCCUG
rnacentral:rRNA from 1 species